GAUGAACGCUGGCGGCGUGCCUAAUACAUGCAAGUCGAGCGAACAGACGAGGAGCUUGCUCCUCUGACGUUAGCGGCGGACGGGUGAGUAACACGUGGAUAACCUACCUAUAAGACUGGGAUAACUUCGGGAAACCGGAGCUAAUACCGGAUAAUAUAUUGAACCGCAUGGUUCAAUAGUGAAAGACGGUUUUGCUGUCACUUAUAGAUGGAUCCGCGCCGCAUUAGCUAGUUGGUAAGGUAACGGCUUACCAAGGCAACGAUGCGUAGCCGACCUGAGAGGGUGAUCAGCCACACUGGAACUGAGACACGGUCCAGACUCCUACGGGAGGCAGCAGUAGGGAAUCUUCCGCAAGGGGCGAAAGCCUGACGGAGCAACGCCGCGUGAGUGAUGAAGGUCUUCGGAUCGUAAAACUCUGUUAUUAGGGAAGAACAAAUGUGUAAGUAACUAUGCACGUCUUGACGGUACCUAAUCAGAAAGCCACGGCUAACUACGUG
rnacentral:rRNA from 1 species